AGUGAACGCUGGCGGCGUGCUUAACACAUGCAAGUCGAACGAGAACGGAUUAUAGCUUGCUAUAAUUGUCAGCUAAGUGGCGCACGGGUGAGUAAUGUAUAGGUAAUAUGCCCCUUACUAAGGGAUAACAAAUGGAAACGUUUGCUAAUACCUUAUACUCCUUAUUAACAGAAGUUAAUAAGGGAAAGAUUUAUUGGUAAGAGAUUAGCCUGUAUUGUAUCAGUUAGUUGGUGGGGUAAUGGCUUACCAAGACUAUGACACAUAACUGGUUUGAGAGGAUGAUCAGUCACAAUGGAACUGAGACACGGUCCAGACUCCUACGGGAGGCAGCAGUGGGGAAUAUUGCACAAUGGACGAAAGUCUGAUGCAGCAACGCCGCGUGGAGGAUGACACAUUUCGGUGCGUAAACUCCUUUUAUAUGAGAAGAUAAUGACGGUAUUAUAUGAAUAAGCUCCGGCUAACUCCGUGCCAGCCGCCGCAGUAACAC
rnacentral:rRNA from 1 species